rnacentral:rRNA from 1 species
AAGCUUGCUUGUUGGGGUUGUAGGACACUCUAUACGGAGUUACAAAGGACGACAUUAGACGAAUCAUCUGGAAAGAUGAAUCAAAGAAGGUAAUAAUCCUGUAGUCGAAAAUGUUGUCUCUCUUGAGUGGAUCCUGAGUACGACGGAGCACGUGAAAUUCCGUCGGAAUCUGGGAGGACCAUCUCCUAAGGCUAAAUACUCUCUAGUGACCGAUAGUGAACCAGUACCGUGAGGGAAAGGUGAAAAGCACCCCGGAAGGGGAGUGAAAUAGAACCUGAAACCGUGUGCUUACAAGUAGUCAGAGCCCGUUAAUGGGUGAUGGCGUGCCUUUUGUAGAAUGAACCGGCGAGUUACGAUUUGAUGCAAGGUUAAGCAGUAAAUGUGGAGCCGUAGCGAAAGCGAGUCUGAAUAGGGCGUUUAGUAUUUGGUCGUAGACCCGAAACCAGGUGAUCUACCCUUGGUCAGGUUGAAGUUCAGGUAACACUGAAUGGAGGACCGAACCGACUUACGUUGAAAAGUGAGCGGAUGAACUGAGGGUAGCGGAGAAAUUCCAAUCGAACCUGGAGAUAGCUGGUUCUCUCCGAAAUAGCUUUAGGGCUAGCCUCAAGUGAUGAUUAUUGGAGGUAGAGCACUGUUUGGACGAGGGGCCCCUCUCGGGUUACCGAAUUCAGACAAACUCCGAAUGCCAAUUAAUUUAACUUGGGAGUCAGAACAUGGGUGAUAAGGUCCGUGUUCGAAAGGGAAACAGCCCAGACCACCAGCUAAGGUCCCAAAAUAUAUGUUAAGUGGAAAAGGAUGUGGCGUUGCCCAGACAACUAGGAUGUUGGCUUAGAAGCAGCCAUCAUUUAAAGAGUGCGUAAUAGCUCACUAGUCGAGUGACACUGCGCCGAAAAUGUACCGGGGCUAAACAUAUUACCGAAGCUGUGGAUUGUCCUUUGGACAAUGGUAGGAGAGCGUUCUAAGGGCGUUGAAGCAUGAUCGUAAGGACAUGUGGAGCGCUUAGAAGUGAGAAUGCCGGUGUGAGUAGCGAAAGACGGGUGAGAAUCCCGUCCACCGAUUGACUAAGGUUUCCAGAGGAAGGCUCGUCCGCUCUGGGUUAGUCGGGUCCUAAGCUGAGGCCGACAGGCGUAGGCGAUGGAUAACAGGUUGAUAUUCCUGUACCACCUAUAAUCGUUUUAAUCGAUGGGGGGACGCAGUAGGAUAGGCGAAGCGUGCGAUUGGAUUGCACGUCUAAGCAGUAAGGCUGAGUAUUAGGCAAAUCCGGUACUCGUUAAGGCUGAGC